UCAUACUUUGUAAUUCUAGAAACGAGUCCAAUAAUCAAGCGCCCCAAAGCAUUAUCUUUUUCAACGUCCUUUUUAUUGAAGGAAAGCACCUCCAAGAGCAGCAUAGUCUGGCACCACCUUUAGGACAUGAAUUACCGUAUGGAAUGCAAAAUGGUGGGCGUAAAAUCCAAUUCUGCCAAGGAAUGUCUCUCUUUGAAACUUUAAGCUGCAAACAAGAAAAUGUGUAGUAACUCUUAGCAAAAUAAAGCUUAGCAACGAAAAGCAAUACUGA